GCAAGCAUUGAAAAGCAUAUACACUGACUUUUAAUCAGUGGGUCGCAGGUUCGAUUCCUGCAGCGCGCACCA
rnacentral:tRNA from 1 species